rnacentral:rRNA from 1 species
GACGAACGCUGGCGGCGUGCUUAACACAUGCAAGUCGAACGAAGUGGCGAACGGGUGAGUAACGCGUAAUCAACCUGCCCUUCAGAGGGGGACAACAGUUGGAAACGACUGCUAAUACCGCAUACUGAAGGAGGGGAUUGCGUCGGAUUAGCUAGUUGGAGGGGUAACGGCCCACCAAGGCGAUGAUCAGUAGCCGGUCUUAGAGGAUGGACGGCCCACACUGGAACGGGACACGGCCCAGACCUCCACCGGAGGCAGGCGUGGGGAAUUUUCCGCAAUGGACGAAAGUCUGAAGGAGCCACGCCGCGUGGGUGAUGACGGCCUUUGGGUUGGAAAGCUCUGUUAAUCGGGACGCGGUACCGGAAUAGAAAGCCCCGGCUAACUACGUGCCAGCAGCCGCGGUAAUAC